rnacentral:rRNA from 2 species
UGGCUCAGAAUGAACGCUGGCGGCGUGCUUAAUACAUGCAAGUCGAACGAGUUUUCGUUGAUGAUCGGUGCUUGCACCGAGAUUCAACAUGGAACGAGUGGCGGACGGGUGAGUAACACGUGGGUAACCUGCCCUUAAGUGGGGGAUAACAUUUGGAAACAGAUGCUAAUACCGCAUAGAUCCAAGAACCGCAUGGUUCUUGGCUGAAAGAUGGCGUAAGCUAUCGCUUUUGGAUGGACCCGCGGCGUAUUAGCUAGUUGGUGAGGUAACUGGCUCACCAAGGCGAUGAUACGUAGCCGAACUGAGAGGUUGAUCGGCCACAUUGGGACUGAGACACGGCCCAAACUCCUACGGGAGGCAGCAGUAGGGAAUCUUCCACAAUGGACGCAAGUCUGAUGGAGCAACGCCGCGUGAGUGAAGAAGGCUUUCGGGUCGUAAAACUCUGUUGUUGGAGAAGAAUGGUCGGCAGAGUAACUGUUGUCGGCGUGACGGUAUCCAACCAGAAAGCCACGGCUAACUACGUGCCAGCAGCCGCGGUAAUACGUAGGUGGCAAGCGUUAUCCGGAUUUAUUGGGCGUAAAGCGAGCGCAGGCGGUUUUUUAAGUCUGAUGUGAAAGCCCUCGGCUUAACCGAGGAAGCGCAUCGGAAACUGGGAAACUU